AAGUCGUAACAAGGUUUCCGUAGGUGAACCUGCGGAAGGAUCAUUAAAAGUGAUUGGUUAUACAUUUCAUGUAUCAACUGCAUUAACCCAUUCCGAGUACCUUGCCUGUUGCUUCCAUGGGGCCUGACCUAGGUCACUCUUGUGAUGUGAAAACCCCAAAGAGGUCCAGUGGCCAUGGGAUAGUCAAUUAAUCAUUGAAUUCAUGCUAAUCCGUCAUUCGUGCUUCUGAUCUGACUUAGUUUAAACAAAAUGUUAAAAA
rnacentral:misc_RNA from 1 species